rnacentral:rRNA from 1 species
UACGUAGGGUGCGAGCGUUGUCCGGAAUUAUUGGGCGUAAAGAGCUCGUAGGCGGUUUGUCGCGUCUGCCGUGAAAGUCCGGGGCUCAACUCCGGAUCUGCGGUGGGUACGGGCAGACUAGAGUGAUGUAGGGGAGACUGGAAUUCCUGGUGUAGCGGUGAAAUGCGCAGAUAUCAGGAGGAACACCAGUGGCGAAAGCGACUUUCUGGUCCUUAACUGACGCUGAGGCGCGAAAGCAUGGGGAGCGAACGGG